AGCACUCAUGUAUUUUUGUUUAACUUGUGGACAAAGACUCAUGGACAGAUGCAAAAAAUAAAUCUUCUUUUGCAACCCUGAACUCAUUGUUCAGUAUGAGUUUUGAUAUAUAUAAGCAGGAAUAUU
rnacentral:snoRNA from 1 species